CACGUAGUUAGCCGUGGCUUUCUGGUAAGGUACCGUCAAGGUACGUUCAGUUACUAACGUACUUGUUCCUCCCUUACAACAGAGUUUUACGAUCCGAAAACCUUCUUCACUCACGCGGCGUUGCUCCGUCAGACUUUCGUCCAUUGCGGAAGAUUCCCUACUGCUGCCUCCCGUAGGAGUCUGGGCCGUGUCUCAGUCCCAGUGUGGCCGAUCACCCUCUCAGGUCGGCUAUGUAUCGUUGCCUUGGUGAGCCGUUACCUCACCAACUAGCUAAUACACCGCGGGUCCAUCUAUAAGUGACAGCAGAACCGUCUUUCACUAUUGCUUCAUGCGAAGCUAAAUAUUAUCCGGUAUUAGCUCCGGUUUCCCGAAGUUAUCCCAGUCUUAUAGGUAGGUUACCCACGUGUUACUCACCCGUCCGCCGCUAACAUCAGAGAGUGCAAGCACUCUCGUCCGUUCGCUCGACUUGCAUGUAUUAGGCACGCCGCCAGCGUUCAUCCUGAGCCAGGAUCAAA
rnacentral:rRNA from 1 species